AUGUUUCUGCGCAGGGUCGGCCUGCUCAGGCUUCCGCGGCACCCCUCACCGCGACCGCGGCGCGCCUGUUCCGCCAGCUCACCUCGUCCGAGCUACUCGAGCGUCGCCGCCAAGGGUUGUGCUUCAACUGCGACGAGCCUUACAUGCCCGGCCACGUCUGUCCGCGACUCUUCUACCAGGAGGUUGCAGACUACAUUCCGGAGGACACCGUCGCCGCCGACCUGGCCGCCUCAGCUGACGCGCAGGUGUUUGACGCUGGUUAAUCACCUCGAGGAGUUCAGCAAGCGCUUCCCCACCUUACAGCUCGAGGACGAGCUGUUUGUGCAGGCGGGGAGAAAUGUUAUGACCGGCCUGACUUAUGGCCGUAGAAGGCCCACCGGGCGAUCUUAG
rnacentral:rRNA from 1 species